rnacentral:tRNA from 1 species
CGCCGGAUAGUGGCGGCGCCAGUCGUCGAACCCGUCGGGCGUCCACGGCGCGCGCGUCAUGCGUGCGACUCCGGUUCCGGUUCGGGUUCGGCGC